AAAGGCCCUGCAGCCUGGCGGGGGUGAACUGCUAAGGCUCCCCAUGGAUUUUUGUGUCAUGGCAGCUGGGACAAACCUGAAGACAUCUGGACACUUGGGACAACUUUCCUCAUUGAUAUACCUGAGGUGAUCAUUGCCACACCUGGAUUAUCACAGGGAUCGAACUCAGGUCCUUGCACUUCUGCAGCAGGCGAUGAAACCACUGAGCUAAAUCCCCGGCCCUGAGGUCUUGGAAAGAUUUUCCCUGAAAGCUUUACCUUCAAGGCGACCCAGCUCAGAGCAAGUAAGUCCAUCACUUAUCGACCUUUUGACUAAGAUCAAGUGCAGAGCAAGGCGAGCUGCAUGCGGCCUUCCCUGCAUACCCAGAA
rnacentral:lncRNA from 1 species